UCUGGACUUGCUUUUUACUUCCAGUGGGUUCCGCCAACUGCUCUGUCAUCUCCAUGAAGUCUUAGCAAGUGUUUCCAGCCGAGUUCCUGCACCCGCUCUCCCUUCUAAUCACCCACUCCCAGCUGUUGUCCCAGGGAGAACCGAGUUCUGGUUGAAGACCCGGGAAAUAUCCACAGGAGCUUGCUCCUUCCCUGCUCUUCCCGGGGCAGCUCUGUCUGCACAUCCGUCUGUCCCAUCUUCCUUUCGAGCUUCUUCAGCGUCACCUCCUCAGCCUCUCUUUCCGCGUCCUUCUUCUCUCUGGCUCACAUAGCUGUCAAGCAGAUGGGAACCUGU
rnacentral:lncRNA from 1 species